UACGUAGGGUGCGAGCGUUGUCCGGAAUUAUUGGGCGUAAAGGGAGCGUAGGCGGACGGUUAAGUCAGAGGUGAAAGCCCAGAGCUCAACUCUGGAAUUGCCUUUGAUACUGAUUGUCUUGAGUAUGGGAGAGGCAAGUGGAAUGGUCGGUGUAGCGGUGAAAUGCGCAGAUAUCAGGAGGAACACCGGUGGCGAAGGCGGGUCUCUGGGCCGAUACUGACGCUGAGGAGCGAAAGCGUGGGGAGCGAACGGG
rnacentral:rRNA from 1 species